GUAUACAGUCUCAAAAUAACUCCAACAGUCAGUGAAUAAACUUUUAAAACAAAAGCCUGUUGAGUAAUAUUUCAGAAGCAAACCAUAGCACAAUGGAAACGGAACCAUCAUCUCACCUUAUGGAGAGUGUCUGAGCCAACAAGCCCCAGUCACUUCAAUGGUCUAAUGAUCUCAGUAUUUCUAUUAUUGAGGUUACAACAUUUGAACCGACAUAUAAUGGGAGGAGGACCCAUGAGCUUCCAGGCUCUGUGAUGAUGAAUAUUGUGUGUCAGUUUGAAGAUCACUGGAGAACAUUGGUGCUUACAUCGGUAAUCUCCAAGUAAAGCAGGUA